rnacentral:rRNA from 1 species
UACGUAGGGCGCAAGCGUUGUCCGGAAUCAUUGGGCGUAAAGAGCUCGUAGGCGGUCUGUCGCGUCGGCUGUGAAAUCCCGAGGCUCAACCUCGGGUCUGCAGUCGAUACGGGCAAACUAGAGUAUUGCAGGGGAGACUGGAAUUCCUGGUGUAGCGGUGAAAUGCGCAGAUAUCAGGAGGAACACCGGUGGCGAAGGCGGGUCUCUGGGCAAUAACUGACGCUGAGGAGCGAAAGCGUGGGGAGCGAACAGG